rnacentral:rRNA from 1 species
GCCAGGUACCGGUCUAAGUCCGUUGGAACACGGCGUCAUAGAGGGUGAGAAUCCCGUCUGUGACCGGUGACCGAUCCCAUGCGAAACCCUUUCGACGAGUCGAGUUGUUUGGGAAUGCAGCUCAAAAUGGGUGGUAAAUUUCAUCUAAAGCUAAAUACUGGCUGGAGACCGAUAGCGCACAAGUAGAGUGAUCGAAAGAUGAAAAGCACUUUGGAAAGAGAGUCAAAAAGUACGUGAAAUUGUUGAAAGGGAAGCGCUUGCAACCAGACCUGUCCGUGGGUGAUCAGCCGCCGUUCUCGGUGGUGCACUCGCCUACGAUCAGGCCAGCAUCGGUUCGGGCGGCCGGACAAAGGCCUUGGGAAUGUAGCUCCUCUCGGGGAGUCUUAUAGCCCUCGGUGCAAUGUGGCCAGCCCGGACCGAGGACCGCGCUUCGGCUAGGAUGCUGGCGUAAUGGUUGUAAGCGACCCGUCUUGAAACACGGACCAAGGAGUCUAACAUCUAUGCGAGUGUUUGGGUGUUAAACCCAUACGCGGAAUGAAAGUGAACGGAGGUGAGAACCCUUUAGGGCGCAUCAUCGACCGAUCCAGAUGUCUUCGGAUGGAUUUGAGUAUGAGCAUAGCUGUUGGGACCCGAAAGAUGGUGAACUAUGCCUGAAUAGGGUGAAGCCAGAGGAAACUCUGGUGGAGGCUCGCAGCGGU